CUCACGGGCGCGCUCCCGCCCGCCCUUCCCGCCCCUCAGGGCGCGGCCCCUCAGGCGCCCUCGCCCCGCUCCGCCCCGACCCCGCGGUGUCGGUAAUUCACCCUCGCGGGGCUCCUUCGAGGUGUUGGGGGGCUGUGCUGUGCUCCUAGGCUCAGGAUGUUCCAAGUUUGGUUGCUGAGGUCCUGCUGAGUUUUCAUAUUAGGAAAGCUCAGACAACAUCCCUUGCCAAGUUUAAUGGACAUUGCCAUGGGAGUUCUCAGGCUAAGGCAAGUGAAAGAAUUAUCCAGUCAUUCCUCUUGAUAAGAAUGAAGGCCAGUGCUAAAUCAAAUUUUAUUUUUCUCUGUGUGAAAAACCAUCUGCAGAGCUGGAAAGCAGAACAUUUCUACAGGCAAACUUUUCUUUUGUGUGGGAAAAUAAUAUAAAAUAUUUGCAUCAAUUCUGUUCACGUCAUCAGGAGUUUGAGUGAAAUUCUUAUUCAAGUGCUUGACUUUUCAUCUUGGAGCAUCUUUAAGUGGGAGCGUGUUCAGUGUGUAAGUAAAUACAUUUUCCUUCUUUUUUACAUUUUCUUGUAAUUAUUUUCAUUUCAACAAUGAUUCUUUGGAAUUCCUUGGGUCUCCUGAUCCAAUUGCCAUUAAAUGGAUUUAAUGUGAUUCUGUCCAGUGCUUUUACAAAUUCAGGGAACCGAUGAAAAUUGAAUUUAUGACCAAACAAAAUCAUCCCAUAAUUUCUAAUUUGGCAGAUUUCUCUGGACUAUUCCUUUAUCUCUUUGUGGGAAGGAUCAAAGUCUCCUCCUAGGUAGGUUUCCAGCAGAAUAAGUAAACCUUUGUCAGUGAGAGGGGCUGCAUUUCCUGGGAAUU
rnacentral:lncRNA from 1 species